UUUUAUUCUCAAUACUUUUUAUAUAGUUUUAAAAAUAUAUACAUAAUACCAUAAUAUGUAUUAAAUUAAAUUUUUCUAACAUACAAUUUAUAAUAAGCAGAGAUUUAUGAUUGAUAUUAGCUAUAAUUAGCUUUAACAUUACACAAGACAACCAAACCCAAAGCAACUAUAGCCACUUUAUUUUAUUUUAAAAAAGCAAACAUAUAUGAUAUGCUUUUUCUACAUUAUAUCAUUACAUAUAUUGCCUCCAAUAUCUCUGCUUCAACCUUUCAUGUGUUGCACUUCAUUUGCAGUUGCAAGGGUCACAAGUGCAGCUAUCACCACACUUGCAGCCACCAUCCUCAGCUGCAACACUCAUUUCAGCACCAUCAAACUGGAUCUUCGCCGGACCGACGCCAAGAAUCACGGUUUCUGUGGUUUCCAUUUCGGAGUAGCUCAAUCCACUAGACCUCUUGUUGCAUCUGCACAGCAAUAAAAAUCAAAAUAAUCCAAUAAAAUAUUAACAAAUUUUUUGCAAGAUUGAUUCUUAAGAAAAAAAAUAAAUACCAACAGAUUAAUAACCAUAUAGAAAAAAAUAAUUAUAUAGAUUUUAAUGUAAGGAAGAGUUAAGGUGGUGGAUCCUUACUUGCAGCUAUCACCACAGUUGCAACUGCUUCCACAACCACAGCUAGACAUAUUUUCAGAAACUAAGAUUUUUUUUGCAAACAACAAUUGAUAUUAAUUGCUUGGUUAGUGUUAUCUUCUAUAAAAGUGGUGUCUUUUAAUGAUGCUGUGUGACUCCAAUUUAUAAGGUGGAAGAGAAUAAUCAGUGAAAUCUUGACCGUCCACGUGUUGUAAUCUUGUGUUGUAUGGGUCCACAAGCCUACGCUUGGAUCAAUUCCUAGUAGACAUCGUUUUCAUUGCACGUCUUAUUGUGGUGUUGGCGAUAAAAUUGUUGCAUGCUUGCUGAUUGGUUUUCACAAAACAUGAUAUUUUAUUGAUUUUAUAAAUUUACUUUUAUUAACAAAUCAUAUUUGAAUAUAAAAGUCACCGCAACGUUUUUGCUUUUUGUACUUUUGGAGAAACAAUUGUUUGAUGAGAAAUAGAAUUUUGAAGCGGUAGGAUAAGUUUUCGGUACGAUAGAGAGAAGUUAAUAGUGAAAAAGUUAAAAAUAUAUAAUGAGGAAGAAUGAAUUUGAUUAUUUAAAAAUGACAUUUUUUUUCUUUUAUGGUUGAGGUGGUUAAAACCGCAAGCGAGGAGUGUGGCGUGAAUUGUCAUCACUGGUUCGAUUGAUCUGGACUGUUGAUAAUGUUUUAGAGGUGAAAUUGUCUAUUCUCAACGAGGAUGGAGGAACACUUGUUUCUCGCAUGCGCUCCUUUGCUUAGGUUUCGUCCAUUGCCUUGUGAGCGGCCACAAAUUGUUGUCCCCAAACCCUUGCUAUUGCUUUGUAAGAUACGUGUUUGCUAUAUACGUUCUAGACCGAUUGAUUGGCAUGAGGAGAUGAAGAGCUCUGAUGGGACAUCACUAUUAUUGGUAACAUACACAUUAAGUAUCUUUCUAGUAAUAAAUCUGAUGUGUGUUCCUAUGCUAGUUCCUAAUGAUUCUUCGUCUUCCUUAGAGAACUUAAGUACUUUGCAUAAUCUUUGAUGAAAUAUCGAUCGUCGAUGGUGCGUAGUAGAUCAUAUGAUCUCUAGUGGUAAAGGCACAUAUAAAAGAUCUCUAAAGCAUCAUUUUUCUAUUUAUUGUCAUCUGCAACCUGUGAAAGAUCUUAUUCUUGUCUUGCCAACUUCGUUCUUUAUCGAUAACUCUUUAAUUCUAGUUUCUUGCCUAAGCUCACAUGCAAUUUUCGUUUGGUGGCCUUUGAUACGCACACCAACCUACUUGUUUUAAGGUAAAGCCAAUGACUUAUUCUUGCUUUUGCCUUUUUAUAGUAUUUUUUGGACAAUGAGUUUUUUAGAAUGGACAUUCCAUCUUACAUAUUUUGCAAGGAAAUGAGGAUAUUUAUGUUGGACAAGCAUUAACUACCAUACAACGUAAUAUACCUACUAAGACUUCUGAGUCUCAUUUCCCUUGAAGGAGGAACACACAUACAUGUACUUUUUAACUAGUACAAUGACGUCCAUCGUGGGUCUUUGUAAAACUAUCAUAUGCCACACCGUGUUCAUCACCAUCACCCUGCAUGUUGUUACCCUUCACUCAUACACCUAGCCAUUUACAUCCAUGGCAAACAGGAGAGCUUCAUCCCCACACCAGAAGAUACCAGUAGUAUUGGUGAUGUCGAUGCUCUAGCAGAGAUGCGUGCCUCCAUGGAUGAGUUACGUCGCUAUAACCACACGCUGGAGGAUGAUGUCCACAAUAUCAAACAACGCCAAUAGGAUUCCAAUCCCUAGAGGAGAUGUAAAUGUUAGACCCCUAGCCGCUCUCAGAUGAGAUAUGGGGGAUAUAUGCCCCGAGGGUUUCAAACAUCCAUACUUGGCCAAUUUUGAUGGGCGCAAAGAUCCCUACGAGCAUGUCGCCUCCAUCAAUACAAAGAUGGCCAUUAUAGGAGUACCUGCCUCCCUGAAGUACAAGCUGCUAUCUAGCAUUUUUAGGGACGUCGCCCUUCGAUGGUAUAUGGGUUUAUCCGUGCCUCCAUCAACAACUAUCAUAAACUGGUAAAGAAGUUAGUACACCAAUUCCUCGCCACAGAAAGAUGUCCACCACACGCCUAUUUAACAUAUGUCAGGGUCCAUCAAAGUCUCUGAGGGGCUACUUCUACUGCUUUAACGAGGCCACCAUCAAGGUCGUCCCACCUAACCAAAAAUGUUUAUGGUGGCAUUCCAAAAUAGAGUUGAGGCAUAACAAUUUAACGAGUCCCUCCCCCAUAAGCCAACAUUUUAGUUGGCAGAAGUGGUCACUAGAGUAGAGUCCUACAUAAAGGGUGAUGAGAAUAACAAUGAAAAAAAGGCGCACGAUGUCAAAGAGCACGUUCCCAAGGUCGGUGGCUCACAUCACCAGAGGAAGAGAAAUUAUACCUCAACCAUAAGCCAACAUUUUAGUUGGCAGAAGUGGUCACUAGAGUAGAGUCCUACAUAAAGGGUGAUGAGAAUAACAAUGAAAAAAAGGCGCACGAUGUCAAAGAGCACGUUCCCAAGGUCGGUGGCCCACAUCACCAGAGAAAGAGCAACUAUACCUCACCCAAAAAGGACCAUACUACAUUCAAAAGGGUAGGUAAGGUGGCAGAGAACUUCAAACCCUUGAACACUCACCACGAGCUAAUCUGGUACGAGGUUCUCCACCUUCACAACAUCCCUCUGGCGCCUACUCCUAAGACAAAUGUGAUGGGUUCUGAAUUGUUUAGGUGGUGCAAGUUCUAUAUUAUCAAGGGACACCACACCGAAGAUUUCUACUAACUCAAAUAGGAAAUCACUAGAUUAAUACAUGAGGGAAACCUCAAGAAAUAUGUGAGGCGCAACUCCCCCCAUUCGGAAAAUAAGUAUAACCCGCGAAGGCGAGACGAUGUUGGAAGCCCUAGACCCAAAAAAUCCCAAGAUGAUCUUUAAGAAGUAGGUAGUAAAAAUGCGUACCACACACUUAACACCGUAGCUUAAGGAUUAGCCAGGGCAGGGAAACCAACUCCGCCCAAAGCAGGUAUGCUCGCCAGAUCCUGAGUAUGGAAAACCUCCUUAAAGUUAAGACCGAAAGCAAGCGCCAAAUUCACAAGCCAUGAUCGCCUUCUCGGGGAAAGAUGCAGUUGUCAUCCAUCCUCUUAACUAUGACCCCGUGGUCAUUACCGUUAAGUGCGAAAGUUAGGGAAUUAAAAGAGAUAACAUGUACGUGUACGUGUAAAUGGGCAUAUCACCUUGAGGAUCACUUUUAGAUAGCAGGAAAAAGAGAUAAAAGUCAAAUAUCUGGUUAGUGAUGCCCCUUCUUCGUAUAAUAUGAUUAUAGGGCGACCGACCUUUAACCUGCUGGGCGACACCUUGUGAAAUAUGUAUUUGUGCAUGUCUCGAAUAGUUCUUUAUAGAAAAUAUUUGUUUGUUGGUUGAUUUUAGAGAAUAAUGUUUAGGUCGCAUUCAAGCGGUUUAACAUCUACUUGUAUGCUCGCACUAUGGAGGCUGGAUCAUCUGUUUAUAAUUCGUGUAGCAAUGGAUAAAACACUAUUCUUUUAUGAAAAAGUUUAUUUUGAUUGCAUCAGAGUAAAAAGUUAGUUUGGUGAGCUGAGAUUGAUUUUAGGUGGAAGACGAGUAACUGGUUCCAGCAAAGUGUACACUAAGCCUCCGAUACUCGAGAAACAAACAAAAAUACAUUCACCUGCUCCCUUUCUAAUCCAAGUUAAUUUAUAUAUAUUUUUUUAAGUUAACUAAUUACGUUCAUUAUAAUUGAUUCAGUUUUGAAAAUGGAUUUGAUGUAGGUUAACUUGUAAACAUGAUGAUUUAAUUGAAAAUAAUUUGAUUUUUCUUAUUUAUUGUGACAACUAUUCAAUUUGAUUUUUUAUGGAGAAUAAAAAUAGAUUUUUGAUUAUUAGCAUUCACAAUGUUCAUAAAAAUCCUGAAAUCAUCAAUUUAAUUAAUUAUAAAAAAAACAAAUAGCAAAAAUUUAAAACAAGAAAAGGGUGCAAACAAAGGUAGUAAAUUAAAACAAUGGUAUUGAAGUCAAAAAAUACAAAAAAAAGGGAAAGAAAUAAAGGGGGCGUGUGGUAAAAGAGGAGAAUGCCUAAUUGAGAGGGGCCCAAAGCUGGUCAAUAGGGGAAAGGGAGUUGACUUCGUGUGGGCCGCCUGAUUGCAUCAAGCGACCAUGAUGCGUUGUGCAUGAUAAGGCUAGUGAAUGGGGUAGUGUAGGAUCAUGGGAAAGAGAAAAGGAGGGAUCACGCCAUGUGGCGCAUUAUCUGCCACAUAAACUAGUCAAUAGUCAACUACAACAAACGGCCCAGAUUAAUUAUGAAUUUAAGCUUCUUCUUCCCCACUCAUGCAAGGCCAAUUGCACAAUAACAACAUCAAUGACUACUUUUUCUUUGAAAAUCACCUAAUAUGCAUAUAAUUUAACAAAUAAAUAUGCAAAAUUCAUCUAUGAAUCGUCAUGAACAUGAAUCCAUGAUCAAAGUGUAUUAAUUAACAACAAAAAAUGGUGAGAAUUAGGAUUUAAAGUAAACCUGAAUUUGAUUGAGUGGCUCGAUCCGGCCAUAACUUGAUGUUUUGAAUCACUUUGCAUUUUUUCUUCAAACGGUUGAUUUUUUAAUUUUCCGGGUUUUUGUUCUUGAAUGUUCAUGAACACUCAUGAACAUCAAUAACACUAAGAACACCAAUUUUUCAGAAAUUCAUAUUUCAAUUUAUUUUGAACAAAUGAUUAAAGGAUAUAAAACAUAGUAAGUGUAGAAACAAUUUUAUGUAAAAAAAAUCACACAAAAUACAAUGGUCAAGCCUUACCUAAGCGAAAAAACCUCAAGAAUGCGAUGAACACUGAUGAGCAACCCAAAUUCCGAUCAAGCUCCAAUAUUGCUCCAUCUAAACUCGUUUUUCAUGUCUCUUUGUAGAUCUAAACACCUAUUUAUCUUCUAUACCUCAUUCCAUCAUAAUUUCACAAUUUCUACAUUUUUUUUCAAAAUCGAGUUCAAAAUGGAUUUGCGCGAAUUUGAGUUUUGGUGUAGUUGUGUGUAGUUUUUUUUUGUCUAUACUAUGUAAUUGGACUCAUAUUUAUAAUAAUUUUCAUGUUAACAUAAAAGGAAAACAAGUCAUAGUGACAAAUCGCGACCAAUUAAAAACAAGCAUGACAAAUUGCGACCAAUUAGAAACAAGUAUGACACAUUGCAACCCUUUGAACAUGUAUGAUCAAAGAUCGUCGUCAACCUGAAAGAUCGGUGCUUAGAUCAAAGAUAAAAAUAUCUUCGUCAACCCGAAGGUCGAUGCUUACAUCAAGGAUAAAAAGAUCGUUGUCAACUCGAAGGUUGAUGCUUAGAUCAAGGAUAAAAAUAUCGUUGUUAACCCGAAGGUCGAUGCUUAGAUCAAGGAUAAAAAGAUCGACGUCAACCCGAAAGUCGAUGCUUAGAUCAAGGAUAAAAAGGUUGUUGUCAACCCAGAGGUUGAUGCUUAUAUCAAAGUUAAAAAGAUCAUCGUCAACCCGAAAGUUGAUGCUUAGAUCAAACAUGAAAAGAUCAUCGUUAACUUAGAAGCUUGAUGCUAAAAUCGUGGGAUAGGUCGUCGCCAACUCAAGGGUCAGCGCUUGGACCUACAAAUGAGAAAAGAUCACCGUCAACCCAAAGGUCGAUGCUUAGAUCAAAUAGGAAAGGAUCAUCGUUAAUAUGAAGAUUAAUACUUAGAUCAACAUAGGACAAGUUUGUCAUCAACCCGAAGCUCGACGUUUAGAUCACGGUAAAGUGAUCAUCGUCAAUCCGAAGAUUGAUGCUUAGAUCAAGGUGAGAUAAAUCAUCACCAACCAAAGGGUCAGUGCUUAGAUCGCACAUGAUAAGAUCAUCAUUAACAUGGAGGUUGAUGAUGCCUUAGAUCAUUACAGGACAAGAUCGUCGUCAACCCGAAAGUCAAUGCUUAGAUGAAGACAAACUGAUCAUCGUCAACCCAAAGGUCGAUGCUUAGAUCAAGGAUAAGAUCUAAGAAUGAUGAUUAGAUUAACAGAUAGAUCAUGGCCAACCCAAAGGUUAAUCCUUAGAUCAAACAAGAAAAUAUCUUCGUCAACUUGAGAGACCACACAAAUUCAAAUCAGUCGGAAAUUCAAGUGGAAGCAGUUGAGAAAGUUACGAUUGGUACAAGCACGAAAGAAAGUUUUUCUGUCAACUAGUGCAAUAUUGAAACCACACCACCAAAACUAGAUAAUAUUGAGAGACUAUCAAUUAUAUUCGAAAGUAUUCCAAACCCGUUCCUGGAUAUUACAUUAAGUCAUGAUCCAAGUCAAUUAUUUGUACUUUCUAAGGAUUCAAAUAAUGAAGAUUUGAAGGGACAUGAGUACCUAGACAAUUCCAUAUUACAAAUUUGGUGUUCGUAAGUAUAGCUUUUAUGUUGAUUUUUAUUUAUAUUCAUAAGUUCUUGUACAUUAACAUAAAGAUUUGACUCUUGCAGGUUCAUGCAUGAGUUCUGUGUUGAAAGUAAUACAAAUAAGUAGUAUUUCUUAGAUCCAUCGCGGCUUGGUCUUACUCACGGUUCGACAGGAAACAAUAUCUUUGUUUACAUACAAGAAAAGUUGAAAGAGAACAAAGAGUAUUAUUUGGUCCGUUUUUACUGUGAGUAAGUAUAUAUUAAUUUGUAUUUUCCUUUAUAAAUCAAAUUUAUACAUAUUAUUAAUUAUUCUGAAUUUUUAUGCAUUGAACAUUGACAACUAAUUGUUAUAUGUCCGAGGAAAAAUGUUAUAAUUGUGUUUUGCUCGUUGCGCUUUGUGCUGCCUAAAGUUGUGGUUAACACUUUGAAUGCGUAAGUGGUAUUAUUCUUAAUAUUCAAAUUUUAAUUUUAGAUUUGAAUAGUUUCUAUUCAUUUUUAAUUUUAACCAACAUGUGUAGAAUGAUUGAAGAACAUAAUGCAAUCAAACAAAAUUUACUUGGUUAAAAGCCAAACUAUGGAUAUCCAAAAGUAAGUAUACUACUUGUGCUUUUUGACUGUAUUAUUUGUGUGUAUUAGUGGUAUAAAUAUAUGAAAUUAUUCGUAGUGACGAAAACAACCCAACAACUAUUCUUGGGGAUACUAUGUUAUAAGAUAUAGACAUUACAAAUGGAUGGAUGAAGCACCAGGUAUACAUAUAUAUACACAUAUUUAUAUUUCUUAAGUUAAUGUUGUUGUUGUUAGCUUAUCGUAGUUUAAAGUUUGUUUUAAUUAUGAGUUUAAUGACAGAACACCAUACUCAAAAGAAGAUAUAAAUGACAUCCGAUCACAUUGGAUCAUUGCCUUCUAUUCAUUUUUUUUUGAAUCUUGACAACAAUAAUUUUUCUUGGUUGUUAUAAUAUUAAUUUGUAUAUGUACAUAGGUUUUGUCAUUUUUAUAUGCAAAUAUGUAAAUGUGUGUAUUUUGUAUUGAUGAGAAUAAUGUAAAUGUGUACAUUUGGUUUUGAAAGCAAUGAUAAUUUAUUAUUAUGUAUUUAAAAGAUUUAAAAUGAUAUGAUAUAUUUCAAUUUUGUCAUAUAUUUUGUAAUUUCUAUAUAAGAAAUGAUACAGGUCAGUGAAAAUAAGAUUUACAACAAUGUAAAUUUGAUAUUAUGUGUUUACAGGCUAAUGAAAAUAAGAUUUAUAAUGAUAUGAUACAAACUAGUGAAAAUAAAAUUUAUAAUGAUAUGAUACAAGCCAGUGAAAAUGAGAUUUAAAACAAAUUAUAUAUGAAAAUAAAUAAGAUUUAACCCCUCGAUUAUCACCUAAAAUCAAAGUAAAAGUAUACCUUAUUACCUCAAUUUUAAAUAAAACCGAGAGGUAUAUGACACACGCAACAAAAUUUGGAAAAUAAAAAUAUGUUAUUGCUAGGGAUCGAACCAAUGACCAUUUACUUUCUAAAAUCGAGGAAAAAAUGGCAAGUUAUCAUGUCACCCUUCGUUACCUCGUAUGUGUAAUCGAGAUAAAAGUCAUUUCGCGACAGAGAUAAGAUGUGUUAUUUAUAAUAGUGUUAUCAAUUGGAUAUGGCAAGAUCACGGGAAAGAGAAAAGGGGGACAACUACAUGUGACACGAGAUCUGACACAGAAACUAGUCAACAAACAACUGCAACGAAUGGUCCUGAUUACUUUUGGAUUUAAGCUUCUUUUUCCCUACUCAUGCAAGACCAAUUGCACAACAACAACAAUGAUUAUUUUUUCUUGGAAAAUCACCAAAUAUGCAUGGAAUUGACAAAUAAAUAUGCAAAAUUCAUCUACGAAUCAUCACGAACAUGAAUCUAUGAUCAAAGUGUAUCAAUUAACAAUAAAAAAUGACAAAAAUUAGAAUUUAAAAUGAAUUCAAAUUUGACUUUGAGGGACUCAAUCCGGCCAUAACUUAGUGUUUUAGACCAAAAAUAAUAAUUAAUUUAAAAAUAUAUACAUAAUACCAUAAUGUAUAAGAUUUGUCUAAACAUACCAUUUAUAAUAAGCAGAGAUUUAUGAUUGAUAUUAGCUAUAAUUAGCUUUAACAUUACACAAGACAACCAAACACAAAGCAACUAUAGCCACUUUAUUUUAUUUUAAAAAAGCAAACAUAUAUGAUAUGCUUUUUCUACAUCAUAUCAUUACAUAUAUUGCCUCCAAUAUCUCUGCUUCAAACUUUCAUAUUCAUUUGCAGUUGCAAGGGUCACAAGUGCAGCUAUCUCCACACUUGCAGCCACCAUCCUCAGCUGCAACACUCAUUUCAGCACCAUCAAACUGGAUCUUCGCCGGACCGACGCCAAGAAUCACGGUCUCUGUGGUUUCCAUUUCGGAGUAGCUCAAUCCACUAGACCUCUUGCUGCAUCUGCACAGCAAUAAAAAUCAAUUAUACAUAUUAAUAUAUGUUUUUAAUUUAUGGACGGCUAAAGGGAAACCUUAUCUUAUUUUAAUACCAUCAAAAAGCUUUUUAAGAUAUUCAAGUGACAAUUGAUUCAAUAUUGGCCAUCAAUUCAUAGUCUUUAGACAGUUAAAAUCUGAAAGAGAAAAAUCUAUGGAGAGAAUUAAAGACAAAAACUUUUGUUUUCUUCUUUUGAGGCAGCUAAUAAAAGACAUAACUCUUUACAAAGUAUCUACUUUUCUUGAGUAGUGAUAAAUCUUUUCAAAAUAUUCUAUAUUUUUGACAAAUAACCAAUAAGAUUGUUGGGUUUAUAUUUUAAUUUAAAACUUCUUAAUUUUAAAAAGUAAAAAUUUAUUUUAGAUUUAAAUUGUCUAAUCCCAAUAAUCAAAUUUCUUAAAACAUUUCAUGUCAAUAAAUCUGAUUUUUAAAUUUUUAAAUGAAUUUAUUUUAAAUUUAAAUUGUUUAAUAAAUUUAAAAAAUCUGAAUUAUAAAAAUCAGGUUAAUCAAUUAUUCAGUAAAUAUGAACUUUAUUUUAAUUUUUGUUUAGAAUAAUAAUAAGAAUGAGGAUAGUCAAAAGUAACCAUAAAAAAUGGAAGUAUCUAAUUUCAUAAAACCCAACCAAAAAGUACUUAAAAAAUACAAUAUUAUAUUAACAAAUAUAUGUAAGAUUCAUUCAUAAGAUAAACAAUAAACUCGAAAGAAUUAAGGUGGUGAAUCCUUACUUGCAGCUAUCACCACAGUUGCAACUGCUUCCACAACCACAGCUAGACAUAUUUUCAGAAACUAAGAUUUUUAAUGGUGCUGUUAUCUUCACUACAAUUGAUGUCUUUUAAUGGUGCUGCGUGCCCUCAAUUUAUAAGGUGGGAGAGAAUAAUUUGUGAAAUCUUGACCGUCCACGUGUUGUAAUCUUGUGUUACUUGGGCCCACAAGGCUACCCUUGGAUUAUUUCCACGUAGACAUCGUUUUCAUUGCACGUCUUAUUGUGGGGUUGGCGAUUAAAUUGUUGCAUGCUUUGCUUCAAGUCAAAUGUGAUUAGUGUCUUAAUUGGUUUGCACAAAAAUUGAUUUUGAAUUUAUUUUAAGAAAUUUAUUGCACUGAAAUAUUAAGUUUAAAGGUGGGUUAGAAUUCGUGGUUUCAAGGAAAGACUAUUUUAGAGAUAAAGUUAAGGCCUCUUUUGUUUUGGUUUCUUUAAAUGAUUUUUUUAAUGUUAUAUAAUUUUGAUAACAAAAAUUUAUAAAAAAUGUAUGAUGUUAUUGUCAUAUUGUAUAAAAUUAAGAGCUUUUUUUUGAAAUUGUAUAAUGUACUAAAUUCUAAAAAGAUUUAUCUAAGAUAUACAAUAUACACAUUGUAUUUUUUUUCCAAUUCUCUUUGUCUCCUCCAUUUAUCAUCUCAUUUGUUUUUAUCAUCAUCACAAUAAUCACUUUCUUUUAUUUAUUGUGCUUUUGAUAAUUAUUUUUUAAAAUUUUACUUUACUUUUAUUAGUAACAUGUGGUUAUAUUUUCGUGACAAGUGUGAAUGAAAUUGAUAUCAAUAGAUUUGCAACACUCGCACAUAAUCAUCCACAUACAAUGGACAAAAGUGGUAUCGUGGUAUUAAAUUGACGGAAUAGCUUUUUUAAGGAUAGAUGGAGAUAAAUACUAAAUAUGGUUGUUUUGUUUGUUGCUUAUGUAUUGUGUCAUUACAUCAUAUUUGUACAAGGGCAUGCAUGGUAGCAACAACUUCUGAUGAAUUUUUUUAUAAAAAAAAAUUAGCAACCGCAAGUGCUUUUGUAUUUUUUUUGAUAUUGAUGCAAAAUAUAUAUGAAAAAAAAUAAUGAAAUACUAGUGUCAUAGUUUUGAUCAAAAUGUGUAAAUUUUUUUUUUAAAAUUGAUCUCUGUGGAUCUCCACGGGGAUCUGUGGGGAUGAAGAUGCAAAAAAAUAUUCUCCUAUGACGGGGAUCGAGGACGAGAAUGGAGAAUAAAUUGGGAGGCGGGUGGGGAGAUGGAAAUCAUCCUCCAAACAUUCUCUACCCGUUGACAUUCCUAAUUAAAAUUUUCCAAGGUCGAAUUCAAGACCCCGUACCUUUAUGGUUGUGCGAAUGAAAUUUUAAUAAUUAUUAUGUUUAAGAUAUUAAACUUGUAUCAAUGAAUUUUUUAAAUAAUUACUCAUUCCGUUCCUUUUUAAGUGUCACUUGAAAAAAAAAUUGUUCCAUUUUAAAUGUCACUUACAAAGUUCAAGGUAGUAUUAACUGUAUUUUUGUCAAAAUUACUCCUACGUAAUUAUUACAGAGAGAAAAAGUAAAAUGAAUGUAAUAAAUAAUUAAGGGUAUUAUAGGUAAAAGAAUAAUUAUUGUUUGAAAAAUAUCAAUAAUGAUUAACUUUCUUGAUAUGUGUAAAAAGUUAAAAAAUGACACUUAAAAAGAAACAGAGAGAGUAUUGUUAAUUUGUCUACAAAUAAAAUAAAAUAAAAUUCAAACAUACCUCCAUCAAUUUAAAUGCUUUUAUUUUGGAUUAAAAACAAGCAAUGUUCAUUCAUUUAAAUUGAUCGAAUAUACUUAAUAAAAAUAAUACAAAUUCUAUUAAAAACGAAAAGAUUAAAAGUGCGAACAAACUCACAUAAUCUAAGUUAAUAGCAUAAAAUAACAAAUUGUGUACAUACAUGACUCGUGUUCUACAAUGUUGAAGAUGGAGGGAUAUUGCUACAAAAUACGUUGCGAAAAACAAUUUUUUUAAGUCGAUCCUUACGAAAGAACUUGAUCAAUAAUAAGAUGAUUACCUCUUGUGGUGAUUUUCUAUUGAUGCAAAAUAUAAAGAGAGAUCUUGAGCAUUGGACUAACGACAACACCUCUAUUCAGUCCACAAAAUAUAAUGUUUUCAAUCUCUGUGCUAGCUGAUCUGAAUGAAGAGAGAGAGAGAGAGAGAGAGAGAGAGAGAGAGAGAGAGAGGAGAGAGAGAGAGAGAGAGAGGAAGAGAGAGUCCAAGAUUAGAGAGAGAGAGAGAGAGAGAGAGAGAGAGAGUCCAAGAUUCUUAAGUGUUAGAUUUUUACAAAUUAAAUUUUGUCAAGCAUGAAUACUUCAACACAAAUGUUCUAUUCAUAGAACCGCUUGUGUGGACUGCAAGCUUAACAAGUCCACUUAAGCAUACCGUACCUUAUAAUGUACCGUAUUUCACAUAGUACCUUAAGAUGUUAUAUAUUCCAUUUAAAUACAUCAUAUAUUACAAUGUUAUGUAUUUUACUUAAGCAUAACAUAGCUUACGAUGUUCCGUGUUCUACUUAAAUAUACCAUACCUUAGGAUGUUUUGUAUUUCACUUAAGCAUAGUGUACCUUACAAUGUUCCACAUUUCUCUAAUUAACACUUGUGAAUUAUAAGACAACAAAAUCAAAUAGGAUUCACUUAUUUAUUUUAUCUCUCAUAAUCUGUUCUUAUGCGAGUGACCCUAUAUGUCUCGUAACAUUAAUAGUUAUAUUAAAUCACACAUUUAAUAUAAUAAAUAACGAGCAAUAUUUAGAUACACACCACUACUACCAAAAUAACAAAUAAUGUCAUGUGAUAUGAUGAAACAUUUCCAUGAUAUUAUUUAUGGAUAAAAUUACCUUUUUUUUUAUCUUAUGUAUAUAUUGAACACAAGACAUAGAUUGUGUCACCGUUGCCUAAUUCAAUAUUGAGCCUAAAGACAUUUAUCUUGUUAUACGUGACAUGAAAAUUAAAUCUAGGUCACUCACGUCCAUUAACAUAUUUUAUGGAGUACCUAUCAACACUAUCUUUAUGGUUAUCGUAUUACGGAUAUCGUUUGAAUGAUAAUGAAGUAUUUGACUCCACAUUCACAGACCAUGGUAAAUUCAGAUUGAAAGGUGGUAUACACCAUUAUCCCAAAGAGAAUAACUUAUGACACUUGCAUAAUAUUUUAUUUAGUAUUCUCAUUGUAAAUAAGUCUUAUAUAAAUAUUACUCAUAAUAUUUAGACAUAUGUGAAAAUUUGAUAACUCUCUAUCUAUGAUCCAUGAGACAUGAUCAUCAAUUUAUCCACAUAAUAAUCUUAAUACUUUAAUGUUAUCCCACUUUACAAUAAACUUGAUUGUAGAUACUUUAAGAAUAAUACCUUUAUGUUUCAUGAUGUCUCAUGAUUAAGUAACACUUAAUAUUUCUUCAAAUCGACUAACUACUCUAAGUACUUUAUUACUUUAAAAAACAAACAUAAUAAACUUAUUAUUAUUAUUAUUAUUAUUAGAGUUGAAUAUGUUUGUAGUCCGCCUAAAUAUCUCAAUCUUCAAUUUAAUCUCUCAAAAAUUUUAUUUAAAGAAUGAUCCUGUUAAUACUUUUCAUCCACGCUUUUGGUCUCUCCUGCUAAAGUUUAUUAAAAGAAACUGACAUGGCAUGUUAUAUGAAAAAAUUUAUGAUUGGCCAAACAUGUGGUAAUGCCAGCGUGGUAAGAUGCUUACAUGGAUGCCACGUGCCUUUUGUCACCCAUUUUAUAAUUUUUAUAUUAAUAAAAUUUCUAGUGAUAUAAUUUUUUUCCGCUAAAUUCGCCGCUAACAUGAGCAUCAUACCAAAACCCAAAAACCGUAGUUAAUAUGUGGCUAAUCCGCAACUAAUCCUUAGCUAAUUCAAAUACAUCAUUCUUAUGACCUAAACUUCAUUUUUUUAAUGAUUUUUGACAUUAAAGUUUAUCAAAUCAUAAGGAUCUCUCUAACAAUUUAUUUUUUGACUUGAGAUGAAUCAAAUAUAAAUUAUUUAACUGUCGAUUUUCCAUGAAACGAAAACAAUGCAAACAUUUGAAUAUGAUUCAACUUUAAAGGAUCUGCAAAGUUUCAUGGUAUUUUAAAUAAGUUUCGAUUUACUUUUAUUUUCCGAUCGAAACACGUAUAAAUGUGUUUUUUUCAAGAGACAAAACAACAUAUUUAACCCUAUCAGUGGUAAAAAGGGUGACAUAAUUUAAUUAUUGUCAUGAUCUUUUUUGCAUGUUAGUGUAUACUAUUACAAGGAUCUCUCUCACAAAAAUUGAAUUUUGUUUGAUGUGAGAGUAAUUAAAUAAGUUUUUUUUUUAAUUGCCGAUUUUUCAUGAAACACAACUAACGCAAACUUUUUCAUAUGAUUGAAUUUUGAGCUAAAAUUUUGUAGAACUUACUACAUAACACAUAAAAAUGAUUUGAAGAUUUUUUGUGGAAUUUUGAUUGAUUUUAGCUUAUUUUGAUUUAUUUUCGCCUCUUGAAAAAACACAUUUAUAUGUGUCUCGAUCGAAUAAUCAAAAUAAAUCGAGAAUUAUUCAUAAUGUAAUGAAACUUUUUAGAUCAUUUUUAUAUAUUUUGAGAUAAGUCCCUGCAAAAGAAUAGUUUAAAAUUCAAUCAUAAUUCAACUUUUACCUUGUUUUCGUUUCAUAGAAAAUCGGUGCUUAAAAAAAUUCAUAUUUGAUUAAUUUCAAAUAAAAUAAAUUAAACUUUUAUGACAAAUGUUUAUAAUGUGAUAAACUUCCAUGCAAAAGAUCAUUAAAAAAAACAAAGUCUAGGUCAAAAGAAUGUUGUAUUUGAGUUAAUUAGAAAUUAGCUACGGAUUAACUACAAAUUAGCUGUAGUUUCUGAAUUUCGGUAUGAUGUUCACGUUAACGACAAAGUUUCUAUCGCAACAAAUUUUAUUAAUAUAAAUAAGAUAAAUUAGUGACAAAAUGCCAUGUGUCAUCCAUGUUAGCAUCUUUGUCACACUGACAUUGUCACGUGUAUGCUUUGAAAUGAAAAGUUUUCAUUGUCAUGCCACACCAGCAUCUGUUAACAAACGUUAGUUAGAGAGACCAAAAGUAUGGAUGAAAAAUAUUAUAAAGACCGUUUUUUGAAAAGAAAAAUUUGAGAGAUUAAAAGUGAAGAUUGAAAUGUUUAGGAGGACUACAAACAUGUUUAAAUCUUAUUAUUAAUAGAUAAUUCGAUAAAAUAUCAAGAUGUAAUAAAAUUAUAAGUCUCUAGAACUUACACCAAUAAAAAACGUCAAAAUCAUUGAUGGAAUAAGCCCUUAAUUAGAAUCAAAUGAACACUACGACAAAACUACUAAGAAAAAAUGCAGCACAAAAUUGUAAUAAAUUAACAAAAUUCCAUACAAAAAUUUAAAUAAUAAUAAUAAUAAUAAUAAUUUAUUUAAAUAAAAACCAAUCAAGAUUAAGGUGUUUUACUGACCCUAAAUUACCUCUCUUUUAUAGAUGACAAAGAAGACAAAACAAAACCUUUUUUUAAAGAGACUAAUAAAUCUAUUUUAUCCUAUUUAUUUAAAUACUUCAUUCCUAUGUUUUAUUUAAAUACUACAUUCAUAUGUUUCUCCGCUCAUAGAUGAUACUUUGUUUGGAUAGAUAAAUAUUUUAAUAUGGAUAAGGAUGAAUGGAUUUGUAAAAAAAUAAAUAAUAGUCUUUGUCAUGAUAUUUGAUGUUCUAUAUAAUUUAUUUGAGGAAAGAUCUAAACAUGCAAGAUGGGGAUUUAAGUUGCGUUUAGUUAAAAAAAAAAAAACUUAACUAAAUCGUUUCUCUAAUGGGAGAGCUACCUCUUGUCUCUCUACAACCCUCGAAUUUCACCUUUAUGCAUAAAGAAUCUAGUCCACUAUAACCAAACAUGAAUGCAAGUAUUCUAUACGCCUCUUCAAGGUCUAUGUAUUCUUUAACUAAACUUAUCAUGGAUUCUUUCAACAAAAUAAUAAUGGUUAACAUGUAUUCUUUCACCAAAAUAAUAAUGGUCAUUUUGUCAACCUUAAUAAUAUUUUAUUUUUAUUCUUGAGUUUUUUUUAUUAAAAUAUUUUUCAUUACGAUUUAUAAUAAUAAUUGUGACAAUAGAUUAAAGAUUAUGAAAUUUGAAUUCCAUCAUCAAUAUUUUUUAUUUAUUUUUUUUAUAUAAAAAAAGCAUGUGUCCCUUGACUUAUAUACUUAUAUUAUUAAAUAAAAAUUAAAAAAUAAUUAAUUACAGUUAUUUUAUCAACUUAUAUGUUUCAUAUUUCACUAUGAUUGAUAUUAACAACUAUGGUGAAAUUCUUUAUUGCAAAAUUAAAAUAUAACAUGUUCUUCAUUUUCUUCAUAACACAUGUCCUAACGAUCCAGACGACAGCGACAACAAAAUCUUCAGCAUCUUCAUUUAUUUGGAACAUCCAGUCUUCACUCUCUUCAUUCAUUAUUGAUUGAUCCCUCGUAAGAAUUCACAUCCUAGAUCCAAAAUAUUUCAAGGAAUGUUAAUUCUUCAAAAGCUUAGAAGAACUCAACCUAUCCACCUUCCUCUGUAUCCCCUCCAAGAAGGUAUGUUCAUCCUUAGUCAAGAUGUUCUACUCAAAUCUUCACAUCAUAGAUGGAAUACCUUAAAUUGAAGUAAAGAAGGCAUAUAAUAACUCUAUCAGUAGAAGAAUUUGGAAAUAUUCUAAAUAUCCAUAAUGAAGAUCCCAUUGUCGAACUCGGAGACAAAGCAGAAAAGUACAACCACCAGCUCACUGCAUCCUCUGUUAUGAAGGAUCCAUCACCCAACAUGCCAAAUCCCUUCACUGCUGGAUAUAUCCACCUUGAAAGUCAUAUGAUUCACUAUGUGAUCAAUCUCAUACUCUUUUCAAGAAAAAGCAACUUCAUCCUCAUAACCCAAGUUGAUGUAGAAACAAUAUCGUUAAUAGAACACAAAAUCAAGGUGAAAUUGGCAAAACACAUGAACGAGUAAAUGAUGGAAAACAUGAAAGAAGGAGUAUAACUGCCAUAUGAAAAUCUGAUCACAAAGAUUUUGAAAGAUACUGGAUAUGAUUUCAAAGAUGAAGAGUUCAAGGAAGAAAGAACUAAAAUAGGAUAAUUAGUCCUACCAUCAAUGAAGUUUGAGAUGAUCAAUGGAAAAGUAAUUGAAAAUCCCCUCUCAAACAAGAAGAAAAUAAAAGCAAAUAGUCAAGAAGCACCCAUAGAGUUAGAUGACUUCGACUACUCUAUUCCUCAACUGCCCAUAAUAAUAAUAUCCUCAAAUUCAUAAUUGGAAAGAUAAUUGUGAUUAAUGACAAAAUUGACUUUCAUAACCCAACCAUUUAUCCCAGACCAAGCACAACUACCUAAAGGCCUUUUUCUUUGAUGAUUUUAACACAUAAUAGUCUCACUUAUGCGUUUGAACUCAUGCUCUCUAUAACUCUUAAAUUCAACAAUUUCUUUUCUUGUACUCUGAAUUCAUAGUAAUUUCUAUUAACAAAACAAGUUUUUCCUUUACUAAAUGUUUAUUUACCUAUGUUUUUAUAUUUAAAUUCAUCUUAGUGUAUAUUUAUCUGUCUUUUUUAUUUCUACAAAGGGGAAGAAGUGUACUCUCAGGGGGAGUAGAGUAUACUCUUUACCUAAUUGAGGGGGAGUUUGAUUACUCCAAAUAUUUAUUGUUGUUUAUAUUACACUACGCCAAAAACUGGAAUAGACAGCGCACCUUAGAGGGCGCUUUAUUACAAAAGCGCACUCUAAAGUGAAGCGAAAAAAUAAGGAGCGAACAAUUGGAAUAGACAGCGCACUUUAGAGGCGCUUUUUGUAAUCAAAGCGCCUCUCAGAGAGUGAAGCGAAAAAAAAUAAGAGAGGCAGAUAGAGGGAAACCAAUACAAGGCGCUUUUUAAAACGCCUCUAAGGUUACCCUUAGAGGGCGCGUUGUUGAAAAAGCGCUCUACUACAGUCCAUGUUGCAUUUCCAGUUUAAUAAAGCGCACUUAUUCGAAAGCCUUAGAGAGCGCUUUCAUAACGCGCCCCUUAGGCCCCUUAUUAGAGGCCUUUUUUUUCCACAAGCUCACUCUAAGGUCCCUUUAGUAAAACAUAAAAUAUAACAUUACUGCCGCCUCUGUUGUUACAUUCACACUCUCUGUUAUUUUCGUGUAAUAUCCUUUUCAACGUUAGCGUCUUUCAACUGCUACUAUAUUCGCUACUUUCUAAGGCGUUCUCCUUCCAGAAUAAGAAAUAAAGUUCCUCUGUUAGAUUCUACCGACGUUUCCUCCCUUCUUUUAAUCGUUGUUAGCUGUUCGUCUUUGACACAUAAAGGUUUUUCCUGUUCUUUCGGAUUUAGACGCUAUUUUCGAGUGAUGUAGCAAUUUUGGAUCCGGGUGUUGUUCAGGUUCGCCCGAAAGGAAACUCAAUUUGUAACGUUCCAGAAAUUAUAGACAUACUGGAAAAAUUUAUGUCAUUUAGGUUCUUGCUCGAUUUUAACUUGUGGUAGAGACAAUCUGGUCGCACUUUUACUUAUUGUGAGUCUGGCUUUUUUCGAUUAAUUUUGCAUUCACUUACUAUUUGUUGGGGGUAAUAAGAAUUAAUCCCUACUCCUUGCGGUUUUCUUCAUCUGGCAAUGGCUUUGGUCUUUUUGGUUGUUUCGAUAUCAUUUCUACUUGAAGGUAAUAAUAAUUUUUUGUUUGUUAUAUUUUUUGAACAUUUUUUUUUGUUUAUUUUUAUAUAUACAUAAAUCAUUAACUAGAUAUUACACAUGCAUUCAGCAUAAAUGUUCAGAACCAAUUUUUGUAACACAGAUUCACAGGAUUAUAUUAAUCAGUAAAUUCUUCUUUAUAUUUUGGUUUUUAUAUGGAUAAUAUAUUUAUGUUGACUUGCUCCAGGAUAUAUAUCACCCCAGAUUCUGAUGUUAUAUGCGACAUUGAGCCUCGUUCCGGUGCUGCGAAGCUUUGUGUUGUAAACAUACUAACUUUAAUUACACAAAUGGAUCGUUCUAUUGUUUGUUUCCCUAUAUUCAUUAUUAUAAAACUUUCAAUUCUUUCAGGUCAGGUUAUGCAUUCUCUCUGGGAUUAGGAGCAAUGCCAUGGAUAUAAAGUCUGAGGUACAAUUUUCUUCAAAUAAAAUAUGCAUCGACAACGCCUAAUGAACAAAACCUUGUGUAAUAUAAUGUGAUAGUUGAUGUGUUAAUAUAAUUUUACAUAUAUAGAUUCUUCCGAUUAACAUCAAAGGCCUAGCUGGAAGUUUGCAAACACUUGCCAAUGGUUCUUAUUCCUGGCUUGGUUACAUUAACACGCAAAUUUGCUCUUGGAUUGGACUUCGGGAGGUUUGUGUGCAUUGCCUAUGUUAAUUUUCUAUAAAUAUCAUUGUUUCUAACCAGAAGCUUCCUAUGUUUCAUCAGGAACCUUCACGAUAUAUACUAUCAGUGUGUGUUUUCACAGCAGGAUUUGUUGCCAUUUGGGUCCCCGAGACAAAGGGAAAAAACUCUUGAAGAAAUACAACAGUUUUUCAGAUGAAGUUUCCUUUCGAGUAGCACUCAGCUAGUGUUCACUCAUGUAUCUCACAUUCAUAUUUUUUCUGAAUCAAACUCAAUUCAUUUUUGUGCUCUUUGGUCUUGUUAAACAUAUGAAAAAUACCAAACAGUGUGAUUUUCUAAUCUAGCAGCAUACUUGCAUUUUGUUGUUGAAUUGAUUGAUUAUAAACAAAUAAAUGAAAGAGAAGUGGUUAUUAUACAUUUCAAUUACGAGUAGCAGUGGUUUCGGUUCAUGACAUUUCAAAUAGCAAGAGGAUCAUAUAAUACAAUAAGCAUUAUCAGUAUUUGUAUUUUAAUAUUAUAAAAGCAUAAAAAGAACCUUUAGUUUGCACUUUAUAUACACCAGCAUGUAUGCCAUUUGUGCACGGCUCUCUGUGUGCUGCAACAAAACCUGAAGUGAAUAUGGCACAGAGACAUGUGAAUGCAUGUAAAUUUAAUAAUCCACCCCAACUUUAGAGGGCGCUUCCAAAUAAGCGCCCUCUAACCCUUUAAAUUUCCACUUUAGAGGGCGCUUUCCAGUAAAAGCGCCCUAAACCCUUAAAGGUUUCCACUUUAGAGGGCGCUUUCCAGUAAAGUGCCCUCUAAGCUUAAAGUUCCACUUUAGAGGCGGCUUUCUUUAAAAAGCGCCCUCUAAAGUGGCCCUUAAAGGGCUUAAAGAGCCCACCUUUAGAGACGCUUUCCAGACCAAAGAAAAAAAGCGCUGUCUUUACCUAUGCCAGCGCCAGAUUAGAGGGCGCUUUAAAGCGCUGUUAUAGGCCAAAAAAAGCGCCCUCUUUUCCCUUAUUUGGCGUAGUGUUACCACAUCUAUGAGAGAUGAGUUGUCAUCAUAAAAAGGGGAAUAAAGCAAAACCUUAUUUUGCAAUUCAUAGAGCACGAUUUUGAUGAUGACAACUAUUAAAGAUGUUCAUGUCUUGGAUAGUGAUAACAACUAAAGUCAAGCAUAAAGCAGUUAAACGGUUAAAAAUGCAAACCAGGAUAUUUGGGUUUGAUGAGACUUGACUAUCUGAUGAUGGCAACCAAAAGAUAUAUAUUUCGAACCUCAUAUUGAAGUGAACUCAAGCAAGUAUCUACAAGAAAGAAAGCAUUUGACAAUUCUUGUAGUACAAAAAAUACCUGUCUCGAUUGUCUGAGUUAAUACUUUGUAAAGCAUGAAAGAAUUCUUGUAAAAUUGUAUGGAUAAAUCACACACACACGAAAAUAUUUUUGAAACUAGAACUGUUUUUCAAAAAUAUCUUGAAUUUGUGCCAAAUUAGUUAUAAGUUAUUUGAAAAGCUAUGAAGGAUUUUUUGUCUUUGCAAAUUGAUUGGCACAUUGACCCAAUCGAUUGGGUCAGUUCAAAAAUGUGCCCUAAACAAUUACGGCAACAUCUUAAUGAGUUGUAACGGAUAAACAUAUUUUAUUUACAUUUUUAACUUGGUAAUUGAUUAAUUUGGAGGCUACCAAUCGAUUGGUAUAUGCUACCAAUCAGUUGGCAAGUCAUAAAUUGGCCUUAAAAUAACUUCCUUUUUGAGCCAACCUAUAGUCAAUAGAUAGAGGUACCUUUACCAUAUUCCAAAUCAUCUAGAAACGUGUUUCAUUUCACAAUUCUCACUUUCUCUAUAAACGUUUCUUUUGUUUACUUUCCCUCACUAAGAAUUUAGCCGAAGUGUUUUUCGAGAAAGUCUUUUUGCGAGUGAGGAAGUUGUAAUUCUGGAAGGAUACAAUUUUAAGUUCACCAAGGAACUUUUUUUUAUACCUUGGUUGAAAAUUUUAUCCUAUUAUGGAUUAUUUUUUUAGGCUCGAAGCUAAACCCGUAAAAAGAUUAGGUUUGGGAUUUGUGUGAUCAAGUCUCUUGCUUAUCUUCUAGAUCAACCCGGUGACAUAAUCUCAUAUAUUUUUGGUUAGACCGUGAUAAAACCAAGAUUAGGUUAAAACAUAGUCCUAUAUUAAAAUCUUGUUUCGGUUUGAGAUCAACUCGAUGGUAAAAUCUCAUAGGUUAUUUGUUAGCCCAUUAUAAAGUCAAUGUUUAGGUUCGAGAGCUCAUCUUGGUGUUAAAAGCUCCUAAAGUUUAUUUGAAGCUUGAAGACUAAGCACUCCAAGAUUCUUAUGGAAAGGAGACUAACCACUUAGAUCCUCUGUUUGGAAGGAAGACUCACCGCUUCGCUUCAUAGUUUGUUGUUUGGUUGGAAGUUAGCCAUAAACUUCUUUUUUCCUUGUAUAAGGGGGUUCGAGAGUUUAAACUACUAAAACUCUUAAGUUUAUUGGAUAAUCUCAAGAAUAAUUCUUGGGGAGAGGAUUAGGUAUUUUUCUCUUUUGACGGAACCUCUAUAAUUUCCAGUGUCUUCUCUUUUCCCUUAACUCUUUAAUGUACACACUUUAGUUUCUGAAAGUUUAUUUUUUCCACUACAUAACUUUAGAGUUUUUCUAAAAAUAUUUUCUAACUCGGAUUUUAAUUCUAAUUUUUUUCAAAACUAUGUUUUUUUGAAACAAAUCAUUCACCCCCUCUUGUGUACGAAGUCACAUGUCCAACACAACUGACACAAGACACGCCGAAAGGCAUCCUUUUUAAGAGGAUCCUCAUAAAAAACUUCCUCUAGUUGAGCAUCUAACGUAACCUGUUUCUCCUGAAGAUUUUAUACUCCUUUCACAAGACUUUCCUCUCAUUCUGCCAACGCUUUUAUUGUACACUGAAGAACAACAAAUUCAAUCUCCGCCUCGAGCUUACUCUGAUAGACGUCAUCCUCCAUCUUCUUAAGUUGGUUCUUGAGGUCAUUCAUUUGCCUAACUAAUUUAGUCGGAGAUCCAUGAAGAUGAUCUUUUUCAGAAAGGAGGGAUGACCGCCCUAGACGACCCUACUUCUCUAGAGAAUCCUUUUAAUCCCAACCUUCUUUACCUCACUAGGGUUAUAACGAGUCCUCAAUGAUGUAACCUCCCGGGAUAAAAAAACAGAUGCAAAAAAUGUUUCAAGACCGACAACUAACUGAUUAAAGAGUGGUACCGUUCUCAUCACAUUGGUGGCUAUCUUCUUUACCAGGUCAAACCUACCAGAAGGGGGGAGUGGACUAACGUAGGCGUAAUCCCUUGCAGGCACAAAAUUGUUUAUCCCGUCUAUUGAUUGAAGAAAAUGACUAUCCAACAUUGAAGGUAGUCGAAGAGAAGCAUUUCCUUCCCUUUUAAUAUGAUCAACUACAGGAGCAACUUUCACUCCCCUCGACCUCUUUACUCGAUCUUGGCCAGCGACAAAUGAAUUGGUCAUGUCAUGCUUCUUCUUAGAUUGACAUUCCGAAUGAGGCAAAAAAAACAGAGGGACCCCGAGUUCCAGUAUAAUUAUGUUCCCAAUAACAUGACCUUUCUUGAACCUAUAUGAAAAAGUAAGAAAGAUCAACGAAUGAGAACUAAAUAAGUCCAUGUAUCCACGAAGAAAAAAGAUAUAAAAUGAAUUACCAAACACUCCUUUCCGUCCUUCCACAAAACUAGCUUUUUCCACUUUCAUACAGUGUAACAUCUCAUUAGAAAACAAGAGCAAAAUCGCUUUCAUAUCCCCCAUCAACCUGGUUUAGAGCUUCAAAGGAACCUAGUAAUAUUUAGGACCUUUAGAGAAAUGGUCAGGUUACCAGAAUCGUCACCUUCGGUCUGUGUAUUUAACUUGUCCAAUAGAAGGGGGAGAGACAACACAAAAUUCCUCGUGAGAAAGAGGAUAAAGGAAGUAAUCGUUCUUGAAAUACUUCCAUCUGUCGAUGUAGAUCUUGAAGAUCCAAUUCUUAAUAGAACAUAGAGAAACAAGCCCAUGACCAAUGACAUCCUUUGGGACAUGAUUUACCUCAAAGAGAUGCAAAAUAGGUCUCGAGAAGCUGGAGCCAUUUUCUAUGGUAUUCAUACAAAUACUAGAAUACUCUAACAAAACUCCAAGCACAUGGAUGAAGUUACGAAUGGUGAAUGCAUAGAUGGUCCAGAAAAUGAAGGAUUAAAAGGGGAUAACGCACCCUUCAAACUUGUGGCAUAUCCUUUUCUCAGAUGAAAUUGAAAAAAUAUCCCAAUCGGAGGAAACCCCUAUUUCCAAAAAAGCAGGGCAUAUUUCUUCCCCUUGAACGAAAAUAGAUUCGUAGGCUAAAUAGGUUGACUCGACCCAAGAGUAAUCUUCUACCGCUAUCACUUCCAUCAAAUUGGUUAGGUAAGCAAAUAUCUAAGUUUACAAAAUGAAACAGGUUAAUACGAUGAUGAUGGACGAAUAGGUAACGACAACAGAAAAGAGGAAAACUUGAGAACAAUGUCUAGCUUUUGUAAGAAGGGAUAAUACAAGGAUUGAUAGUUCAGAUUGAACAACAGGAGAAAAUAUGAGGGUAAUCAAUAUAUUGUCCCAUGAAUCCAAACGAUGACAAAAAAAACUUAAGUACCCUUUGUAGGGCAAUCGAUCCCUAACCUACACGCGUAGGGCGACGUGUUGGCAAGAAGAAGUGAAAAUGGCCCAUUGAUAAGAAAGCAUUAAAUGCGCUUGUCCCGUACUAUUUAUGCGACAAACUCUAAAUGUUUCAAUUUUGGAACAACAAAUAUGAAUUCUCAGAAAACCGACUCCAGUCACUAAAGACUCCUCAGUAUCCAAGGUACCCGGUAAGUCUUGGGGGCAACUGUUCUGCACCGGCCAAAAGACCCAUAAUAGCAAAGUCCGUAUUGGUUCACGCUGCUCAACCCAAGGUAUAAAUACCCUUCCACACCAAUUUCAAUUGCAUUCUCUAAUUUCUAGUAUUCACUACACUCAUCUUUAAUCUUAAACUGACUUCGAUGUUAGAAUGCUAUUCACCCCGCACCAUCGUAAAAGAGAUCAAUACCAUAGUUUAAGACCACCAAUUCUUCAACUAUAUUCAUUUCAGAUUCAUGAAGUGAACAACUAUAAUUAGAACUAAAAAGAUUAAAAUCAUUCCGCCCAAAAAUGAUCAUUACCAAUAAUUCUAAAUCCUAAGUGUUAAGUCCUAAUUCUACCUUUAUAAAUAUUUUAAUCAAUCCAAAAUUCUUCCACCCAAAUUAAUCAUUAUCUUAGAUGAUUAACAAAUUUAGCAAAUUUGAUAUGUAAACGGUCCUCAACAGAACCAUACUUUUAAUUAUCCAAAUUCACUCUUAGACUAAGAUUUCUUUUCUGUUUUUUUUUUCUAUCAUCUCCUAUUUGACUUUGUUUUUUAAUGAACAAGAAGAAAUAAAAUUAAUUAUUGGGUCUCCAAUGUUUAACCAAUUUCAAAUUUGCGUACCUAGACAUGUUUUUUUCUUCUUCUUAUGAAAUGGUUUGGGAUCACGUCACAUCUAGUAGUUUAGUGUUACGAUCAUGGAGUCCCAAAUCAUGUUAAAGUAAUGCUUGUUUUAUUUUUUAUUACUUUGUUACAAAUUAUGUUAUGGCCAUAUCUCUACAUAGUCUUGUCACUAAUCAUGUGGUAAAAGAAUGAUUAUGAAAUGAGAAAUUCAUAUUUUCUUCUUUAAAAAAAACACUAUAGCCAAUUGAGAGAAAAUAAUGUAGAUACUUUUUACCUUUUAGAUCUUCAUUCACACACAAAAAAUAGACUUUGGAUCAUCGACUCUAAUAAUAUACAUCAUAAUAUGUUGUACCAACAAUCCUUUCAUUCAAAUAACACACAAUAAUGUAUUCCAUUUAUCAUAUGCAGAGAUUUAUGAUUCAAGCUUUUAGCUACACUUUACACAAGAAAACCAAACACAAACCAACCACAAUUCUCAUAACCUUUCAACAAAAUCAAAUAUUUCAAUCUGCUGAAGAGAGAUCCAUGACCACAUUAAUUAUAUUAUUCUAAAAAACCAAACACACAUGUGUACUCAUACACACAAUUAAACAUAAUGGUUUCAAUAUCUCUGCUUCAAGCUUUUAUAUGUUACACUUCAUUUGCAGUUGCAAGGGUCACAAGUGCAGUUAUCACCACACUUGCAGCCACCAUCCUCAGAAGCAGCACUCAUUUCAGCACCUUCAAACUGGAUCUUCGCCGGACCGACGCCAAGAAUCACGGUUUCGGUGGUUUCCAUUUCGGAGUAGCUCAAUCCACUAGACCUCUUGUUGCAUCUGUCAAGCAAAACAAAUCAAUUAUAAACUUGGUUGUCAAAAUAAAGGUUUUCGAAAGACGUUACACGAAAAAGGUUUUCAAAUCGAUAUCGAUAUGUUAUUCAACGUUUUUAUGAUAAAGAAGAAAUUGUGAUUAAUUCACACCGCAACGACGACAAUCACGAAAAUCUUUACCCGACUGCAAUCGCACCUAAACCAACCGAAAUUAGAAAACUCUUUACACGAUUGCAAUCAACACUUAAACCAACCGAAAUCAGAAAAGCCUUUACGCGACUACAAUCGACACUUAAACUAUCGCGACAGCACGAUCCUUAUUUUAAACCUCAAAAUUAUGCGUUUACACAUAAAAUUGCCCAAUUUCACUACACAAAAUGAUUUAACAUAGAAUUAUGAACCAUAUUCAUAGUCUUAGAAUUUAGAUUCAGCCUAAUUCAUUUAUAAAAAACAAUCCGUCUAUAUUAAAUUUAUUUUUCUCAUGCUCAGAUCAUAUAUUAUUCGAUGCGAUAAAACUAAACAAAUUAUUUAAAAAAAUCUCCAAAGAAUCAUCUAUAUGAUUAAAAAUAGACAUACAAA
rnacentral:lncRNA from 1 species